UCCUGUAUGGUCCAGCGGUGAGGAUUCCUGGUCUUCACCCAGGCGGCCCGGGUUUGACUCCCACUAUGGGAA
rfam:TPA: Bos taurus chromosome 20, whole genome shotgun sequence.